rnacentral:rRNA from 1 species
UACGAAGGGGGCUAGCGUUGCUCGGAAUCACUGGGCGUAAGGGGUGCGUAGGCGGGUCUUUAAGUCAGGGGGGAAAUCCUGGAGCUCAACUCCAGAACUGCCUUUGAUACUGAGGAUCUUGAGUUCGGGAGAGGUGAGUGGAACUGCGAGUGUAGAGGUGAAAUUCGUAGAUAUUCGCAAGAACACCAGUGGCGAAGGCGGCUCACUGGCCCGAUACUGACGCUGAGGCACGAAAGCGUGGGGAGCAAACAGG